rnacentral:lncRNA from 1 species
ACUCGUUGCAAAGUUAUACUGUUAGGGCGCAGCUUAGUAGUCUAAUGUUGUUCCGGUUUUGGUUCUUGUGAAGGUUGACAUCGAUUCGUUCUAAAUUUACACUCGCGGGGCAUAAUAGAACAAUAUAAUUAGCUUUUACACUUUGUUCGGUCGAAUGGGAAAAAGUACUCGUUGCAAAGUUAUACUGUUAGGGCGGAACUGAGUAGACUAUUGUUGUUCCGGUUUUGGUUCUUGUGAAGGUUGACAUCGAUUCGUUCCAAAUUUACACUCUUGGGGCAUAAUAGAACAAUAUAAUUAGUUUUUACACUUUGUUCGAUUGAUUAAGAAAAAGUACUAGUUGCAAAGUUAUACUGUUGGGGCGCAACAGAGUAGUCUAUUGUUGUUCCGGUUUUGAUUCUUGCUAAGGUUGACAUCGAUUCGUUCCAAAUUUACACUCUCGGGGCAUAAUAGAACAAUAUAAUUUGGUUUUACUCUUUGUUCGAUAGAAUAAGAAAAAGUAGUCAUUGCAAUGUUAUACUGUUAGGGCGCCACUGAAUAGUCUAAUAUUGUUCCGGUUUUGGUUCUUGUGAACGUUGACAUCGAUUCGUUCGAAAUUACAACUCUCGGGGCAUAAUUGAACAAUAUAAUUAGGUUUUACUCUUUGUUCGAUAGAAUGAGAAAAAGUACUCGUCGCAAAGUUAUACUGCUAGGGCGCAACUGAGUAGUCUAAUGUUGUUCCGAUUUUGGUUCUUGUGAACGUUGACAUCGAUUCGUUCCAAAUUUACACUCUCGGGGCACAAUUGAACAAUAUAAUUAGGUUUUACUCUUUGUUCGAUAAAAAGAGAAAAAGUACUCGUUGCAAAGUUAUACUGUUAGGGCGCAACAGAGUAGUCUAAUGUUGUUCCGGUUUUCGUUCUUGUGAACGGUGACAUCGAUUCGUUCCAAAUUUACACUCUCGGGNCUGGGAACUUGUUGUACACAAUCUCGUCGUUGUGCCUUGGGCGGACAGGGGAGGUACUGUCCGUACGGCGGUCCGCCGCCGUGCCCGAACCGAACCAAAUUGGUAUCGGCCUCGGGGCGGGGGCGUGACAGAAAAAUUACUAGUUGCAAAGUUAUACUGUUGGGGCGCAACAGAGUAGUCUAUUGUUGUUCCGGUUUUGGUUAUUGUUAAGGUUGACAUCGAUUCGUUUCAAAUUUACACUCUCGAGGCAUAAUAGAACAAUAUAAUUAGGUUUUACUCUUUGUUCGAUAGAAUGAGAAAAAGUACUCAUUGCAAAGUUAUACUGUUAGGGCGCAACCGAAUAGUCUAAUGUUGUUCCGGUUUUGGUUCUUGUGAACGCUGACAUCAAUUGGUUCGAAAUUACAACUCUCGGGGCAUAAUUGAACAAUAUAAAUUAGGUUUUACUCUUUGUUCGAUAGAAUGAGAAAAAGAACUCGUCGCAAAGUUAUACUGCUAGGGGGCAACUGAGUAGUCUAAUAUUGUUCCGGUUUUGGUUCUUGUGAACGUUGACAUCGAUUCGUUCCAAAUUUACACUCUCGGGGCAUAAUAGAACAAUACAAUUAAGUUUUACUCUUUGUUCGAUCGAAUGAGAAAAAGUACUCGUUGCAAAUUUAUAAUAUUAGGGCGCAGCUGAGUAGUCUAAUGUUGUUCCGGUUUUGGUUCUUGUGAAGGUUGACAUCGAUUCGUUCCAAAUUUACACUCUUGGGGCAUAAUAGAACAAUAUAAUUAGCUUUUACACUUUGUUCGAUCGAAUGGGAAAAAAGUACUCGUUACAAAGUUAUACUGUUAGGGCGCAACUGAGUAGUCUAUUGUUAUUCCAGUUUUGGUUCUUGUGAAGGUUGACAUCGAUUCGUUCCAAAUUUACACUCUCGGGGCAUAAUAGAACAAUAAAAUUAGCUUUUACACUUUGUUCGAUUGAAUAAGAAAAAGUACUAGUUGCAAAGUUAUAUUGUUGGGGUGCAACAGAGUAGUCUAUUGUUUUUCCGAUUUUGGUUCUGGUGAAGGUUGAUAUCGAUUCGUUCCAAAUUUACACUCUCGGGGCAUAAUGAAUAAAAUAAAUAGCUUUUACACUUUGUUCGAUUGAAUGAGAAAAAGUACUAGUUGCAAAGUUAUACUGUUGGGGCGCAACAGAGUAGUUUACUGUUGUUCCGAUUUUGGUUCUUGUUAAGGUUGACAUCGAUUCAUUCCAAAUUUACACUCUCGGGGCAUAAUAGAACAAUACAAUUAAGUUUUACUCUUUGUUCGAUCGAAUGAGAAAAAGUACUCGUUGCAAAAUUAUGCUGUUAGGGCGCAACUGAGUAGUCUAGUGUUGUUCCGAUUUUGGUUCUUGUGAAG